UUUAAACUUAAAAUUUAGUAAAAUUAGUAUUAGUUAUUUUCUUGAAAUUUAAAGAUUUUGGCGGUAUUUUAGUCUUUUCAGAGGAACCUGUUCUAUAAUUGAUAGUCCACGAUGAAUAUUACUUAUUUUAAUUAGUUUGUAUAUCGUUGUAGUUGAAUAUUUCAUUAGAAUUUAAAUAUUCAAAAUUUAAUAUAAUAAAUAAAAUCAGAUCAAGAUGCAAUUUAUAGAUAAGAAGAAAUGGGUUACAAUAAAAUUAUUUAUAUGAAUAAGUUUAUGAAAAAAAUUUUGAAGGUGGAUUUGAAAGUAAUAAAAUUAAUUUAAAUUUUAUGAUUUUGGCUCUAAAAUAUGC
rnacentral:rRNA from 1 species